rnacentral:tRNA from 1 species
GCCGACGUAGCCCAAACGGAGAGGCGCUUGUCUUAGAAACAAGUUGAUGUGAGUUCAAAUCUCACCGUCGGUACCA